rnacentral:rRNA from 1 species
CAGCCGCCCGGGAAUACGUAGGUGGCGAGCGUUGUCCGGAAUUAUUGGGCGUAAAGGGAGCGCAGGCGGACAUAUAAGUCCAUCUUAAAAGUGCGGGGCUCAACCCCGUGAGGGGAUGGAAACUGUAUGCCUUGAGUGUAGGAGAGGAAAGCGGAAUUCCCAGUGUAGCGGUGAAAUGCGCAGAUAUUGGGAGGAACACCAGUGGCGAAGGCGGCUUUCUGGACUGCAACUGACGCUGAGGCUCGAAAGCCAGGGGAGCGAACGGGAUUAGAUACCCCCGUAGUCCCUGUCUCUUAUACAA